CCUCCUCCUCCUCCUCCUCCAGGAUAUCACCUGCUGCCACACAAAUGUUGUAGAGGAUGCAGCAGGCAGCAAUUUCCUUCGGGGCAAACAGAGGCCGGAUCUCCAGGGCCCUCAAGAGGAUGGAGCGCCAGCGUGUUUUCAAGACCCCAAAGGCACUUUAAACAACCUGUUGCCCAGGCCCUGCAGGCUGGAUAACCUGCUUUGAAGGUAGCUGUUGUACCGGAGCUCAUCACAGUGAAGGCAUUGGAGGUUGAUAAUGCCACUGAGG